UCCAAAAAAGGUGGGCACUCUUGAUAACUGCAGUUGUUGGUGUGCAAACUCUCUGUGAGUCUCCAGUCACACACGGGUCCAGAUCGAAGAGCAGUGACUGAUAAGAAGAAACUCUGCCUAACAUCAGAGAUGCUGGCUCUCCUGCCAAAAAGAGGAAAAUGUCAGCGUUGGACCAGCUGUUUGGAAGAAGUGAGGGCGGCAGCUACAUCUGUAAGAGACAAAACCAGUGAAGAAGUCAAGCGGUACAGCAUGAUCCGGUGGAAAGAGCAGUGGAAAAAGCUGCAAGACUUCCACUGCUGUCUUCUCUCGCUACAUGAUACCUCUGCAUCCCGGCCACCAGUGUGGCAUCAGAAUGGGUGUUCAGUACUGCGGGAGAUAUUGUUUCCAUAAAUCGAAGUCUACUCAAACAUGAGCACGUGGAUCAGUUGAUUUUCCUUAAGAGAAAUCUGCACUCCAAAAGAACAGUGGACAGUGAAGAUGAAUAAGAGACCGUCUGGGAAAAUGCACAGGCAUACUGUAGGUGAACUACUUUAACUGUUGUGUGAAGUAAAUGAUUGUUGACUUGUCAGUCAAACUUAACUGCCAUGUGAGAAUAUAAAUGUAGAGCAGCACUUUGGAUCAGAUUACCUUUUCCAGGUCAAAAAGCAGCAUUUUGAUUUAUUUAUUUUCUUUAAUGUUUUACAUAAAGCUGACUGUGUGUAAAGCUUUGUUGAGAUAAGAAUGUGGUUUCUGCUUUGUCCUUCCACUCCGGUUCCCCAGGCCUGAGGCAACAUUUUGAGACGACCACCAGGGGUCA